rnacentral:tRNA from 1 species
UAUUACUUUGACAGAUUAGUGUGAUGAUUUUAGAAUUCAUUUAUGUAAAUAUUACAGUAAUA